rnacentral:sRNA from 1 species
CGGCGGGGCUGCCCGGCCGGUGCUGUUGGGGCUGCUGCUGGCGCUGUUAGUGCCGGGCGGUGGUGCCGCCAAGACCGGUGCGGGGCUCGUGACCUGCGGGUCGGUGCUGAAGCUGCUCAAUACGCACCACCGCGUGCGGCUGCACUCGCACGACAUCAAAUACGGAUCUGGCAGCGGCCAGCAAUCGGUGACCGGCGUAGAGGCGUCGGACGACGCCAAUAGCUACUGGCGGAUCCGCGGCGGCUCGGAGGGCGGGUGCCCGCGCGGGUCCCCGGUGCGCUGCGGGCAGGCGGUGCGGCUCACGCAUGUGCUUACGGGCAAGAACCUGCACACGCACCACUUCCCGUCGCCGCUGUCCAACAACCAGGUGAGCCCCUCCCGGAGCCCCCAGAGAGACUCCUGGCCUGUGUGAGGGGCCAGAGACAGAGCCCUGGGUUCCAAUCCGAGCCUCAGCUUCUUCGUGAAAUGGAAAUUUCACUUCAGAGAUGGUUACUGAGCGCCCCCUCGGGGGACACAGAGUAACUCCGCCAGGAUCCUGCCCCCAGGUGCUCCCGGCCCGGCAGGGAGAACGACGGGAGAGAGAUCCGGAGAGAUACGCCUG